CCACGGCUUCAGGUGUUACAGCUGCCAAGGUGGGCCGCUCACGAAUUGCGCCGAAGCUUCGGCGAUAGGGGUGUACGAAGAUUGCGCCGGUCGUAACGCCCAAUGUUACGAGGCUCUGGUGGCAUAUCAAAGGGGCGCCCUCACGUUGGUCCAAAGAAGAUGUUGGCAGCCACCGAAAGGCUCGAACGACACGAAUUUCUGUGAUUCCUUCGACAAUCCCGUCGGGGAGUUAGGAAAAUGCAUAACUUGCACCACCGAUCUAUGCAAUACUGACAAGAAAUUCUGGUUGUAGUCUGAUACCGUUCAUGUAUAAUAAAUCAAUCAGUUUGAUCACUUGAA